rnacentral:lncRNA from 12 species
CCCCCCCCCCCCCCCCCCCCCCCCCCCCCCCCCCCCCCCCCCCCCCCCGGCCAAAAACGCACCUGGGGGGGCCAAAAAUGCACCUGGGGGGGCCAGAAAUGCACCUGGGGGACCUAAAAAUGCACCUGGGAUCCCUGAACUCCCACCCCGUGUCCACCUGUCCACCCCGUGUCCACCUGUCCACCCCGUGUCCAUCUGUCCACCCUGUGUCCACCUGUCCAUCCUGUGUCCAUCUGUCCACCUCACAUCUACCUGACCACCCAAUGUCCACCUGUCCACCCUGUGUCCAUCUGUCCACCCCACAUCCGUCUGUCCAUUCUGUGUCCAUCUGUCCGCCCAAUGUCCAUCUGUCCACCCCGUGUCCAUCUGUCCACCCAAUGUCCAUCUGUCCACCCUGCACCCGCCUGCCCACCCUGCGUUUCUUUGACCUCCCCGUGUCCAUUUGUCCAUCCUGUGUGCAUUUGUCCACCUGAUGUCCCUCUAACCACCCCGUUGUCCGUCUGUCCGUCCGUCCAGCCGCCCCUGGAGAGCCUGGCCACGGUGGAGGAGACGGUGGUGCGGGACAAGGCGGUGGAGUCGCUGCGGGCUGUGUCCCACGAGCACUCGCCCCCCCCCCCCCCCCCCCCCCCCCCCCCCCCCCCCCCCCCCCCCCCCCCCCCCCCCCCCCCCCCCCCCCCCCCC